GACGAACGCUGGCGGCGUGCCUAAUACAUGCAAGUAGAACGCUGAAGAGAGGAGCUUACUCUUCUUGGAUGAGUUGCGAACGGGUGAGUAACGCGUAGGUAACCUGCCUUGUAGCGGGGGAUAACUAUUGGAAACGAUAGCUAAUACCGCAUAACAAUGGAUGACACAUGUCAUUUAUUUGAAAGGGGCAAUUGCUCCACUACAAGAUGGACCUGCGUUGUAUUAGCUAGUAGGUGAGGUAAUGGCUCACCUAGGCGACGAUACAUAGCCGACCUGAGAGGGUGAUCGGCCACACUGGGACUGAGACACGGCCCAGACCCCUACGGGAGGCAGCAGUAGGGAAUCUUCGGCAAUGGGGGCAACCCUGACCGAGCAACGCCGCGUGAGUGAAGAAGGUUUUCGGAUCGUAAAGCUCUGUUGUAAGUCAAGAACGGGUGUGAGAGUGGAAAGUUCACACUGUGACGGUAGCUUACCAGAAAGGGACGGCUAACUACGUG
rnacentral:rRNA from 1 species